UGUUAGCUUGCUAACAGGCGUCGAGUGGCGGACGGGUGAAGUAACGCGUAGGAAUCUACCAAAUAGGCGGGGGAUAGCCCGGAGAAAUCCGGAUUAAUACCGCAUAAUCUCUACGGAGUAAAGAGGGCCUCUUAUUUAUAAGCUUUCACUUAUUUGAUGAGCCUGCGUAAGAUUAGCUUGUUGGUGAGGUAAAAGCUCACCAAGGCGACGAUUCUUUAGCUGGUCUGAGAGGAUGAUCAGCCACACGUGGGACUGAGACACCGGCCCAGACUCC
rnacentral:rRNA from 1 species